rnacentral:lncRNA from 1 species
UGAUGGGGUUUACAAGUCUGUCGGUCUCCUUUUAGGGUUAUGCUCUUAAGACUACUUGUCAUGUUCUCAACUAGAUUUUGAAUUAAUCAAUUGAAAAUACUCCAUAUGAGAUAUGGACUAGGCAUAAAUCGAUACUUUCUUACCUUACCUUAAGAUUUGGAAGUGUUUGUUUUAUGUCCAACAUUUGUAGACCGAUUAGCCUAGAUCUCAAUCCUGUAUGUAUUAUUUUGUAGAAUACCUCAAAGAA